CGGCACGUAGCGCAGCUUUGGUAGCGCACCGUCAUGGGGUGUCGGGGGUCGGAGGUUCAAAUCCUCUCGUGCCGACCA
rnacentral:tRNA from 1 species